GCCCGGCUUGCUCAGUGGGUCGAGCAUGAGACUCUUAAUCUUGGGGUCAUGGGCUUGUGCACCACGUUGGGCU
rnacentral:tRNA from 1 species